AUUGAACGCUGGCGGCAGGCCUAACACAUGCAAGUCGAGCGAGCGGCGGACGGGUGAGUAAUGUCUGGGAAACUGCCUGAUGGAGGGGGAUAACUACUGGAAACGGUAGCUAAUACCGCAUACCAUCAGAUGUGCCCAGAUGGGCUUAGCUAGUAGGUGGGGUAACGGCUCACCUAGGCGACGAUCCCUAGCUGGUCUGAGAGGAUGACCAGCCAAACUGGAACUGGGACACGGUCCAGACGCCUACGAGAGGAAGCAGUGGGGAAUAUUGCACAAUUGGCGCAAGCCUGAUGCAGCCAUGCCGCGUGUGGGAAGAAGGCCUUCGGGUUGUAAAGCACUUUCAGCGGGGAGGCGUUACCCGCAGAAGAAGCACCGGCUAACUCCGUGCCAGCCGCCGCGGUAAUUC
rnacentral:rRNA from 1 species